rnacentral:lncRNA from 1 species
UAAAUUAGCUAAUUAUGUCUUUGUUGGGUAAAAUAAGGUAAGGAGAAGAAAGAGGAGGAGGAGGAGGAGAAGAAGAAGAAUAAUAAUAAUAAGAAGAAGAAGAAGAAGGAGAAGGAGAAGAAGAAGGAGAAGAAGAAGAAGAAGAAGAAGAAGAAUGAGAGGAAGAGUAAGAGGAUGAUUACAAUACUUUUCUUCUUUUGAGCUUAUUAUGUGAUUUAGGAGGAAGAUACGCUAAGUUAUGAGCUAACCAA